AUUGAAUGCUGGCGGCAGGCCUAACACAUGCAAGUCGAACGAGUGGCGGACGGGUGAGUAAUGUCUGGGAAACUGCCCGAUGGAGGGGGAUAACUACUGGAAACGGUAGCUAAUACCGCAUACCAUCGGAUGUGCCCAGAGGGGAUUAGCUAGUUGGUGGGGGAACGGCUCACCAAGGCGACGAUCCCUAGCUGGUCUGAGAGGAGGACCAGCCACACUGGAACUGAGACACGGUCCCGAAUCCUACGGGAGGCAGCAUUGGGGAAUAUUGCACAAUGGGCGAAAUCCUGAUGCAGCCAUGCCGCUUGUAUGAAGAAGGCCUUCGGGUUGUAAAGUACUUUCAGCGGGGAGGCGUUACUCGCAGAAGAAGCACCGGCUAACUCCGUGCCAGCAGCCGCGGUAAUAC
rnacentral:rRNA from 1 species